rnacentral:rRNA from 1 species
ACGUAGGGGGCUAGCGUUGUCCGGAAUCAUUGGGCGUAAAGCGCGUGUAGGCGGUUCGGUAUGUCCGCUGUGAAAGUCGGGGGCUCAACCCUCGGAUGCCGGUGGAUACUGUCGGACUAGAGUGCGGAAGAGGCGAGUGGAAUUCCUGGUGUAGCGGUGAAAUGCGCAGAUAUCAGGAGGAACACCGAUUGCGAAGGCAGCUCGCUGGGACGUAACUGACGC